CAAGUGAAACUUUUCCUCCCAGUGUUGAAACAUCGACAUGGAGAAACCUUUCCAGGCCAGGAGCGGGUGGGGCCCCAGGGCUGCAGUUGCGUGCGCUGCAUGCAGCAGUUCAACCUCUGCUGCAUGCUUUCCAAACUGAGCCACAGCCAAACAGCUUUUAGCACUUUCUGCAGCACUUUUCAAAAGAAACCCCGACAAACCAGGAGGCAGCCACCUGCCCUGGAAGAUUUAUGAGCUCACCCAGCAAAAAGGGAAGGCAAGGGUACAAGGAAGAUGAGAGAGAGGGAAACUUAAUGAACAAAGAAGGAUCCACAGGAAACCAGAGAAAGCUUGAAGACCUCCCUCAAAGCCCAUAAUAUAUGUCCUGAUCCCUUGACAACAAAAAUGACUUCACACACUGGAGGAAGCUGUUUUGCUGAUCUUGGAGGUGAUUCCAGCUUCAUGAUGUUGACAUGGUCCAUUUACUGUUGAAUCUGUGCAGAGGCAACAGCCAUGCUGUUGCACCCACAUUCCUGGGCUUGGACUCAUGCCCUUCUUGCCUGCAGUCAGUGCGUGCACAUGAUCGCUUGGCUGCCCACCCUCGUACCCAUGCAGGAGGAUGGCGUGGUGCCUGCACACAGAGGUGAGAAGCCAAUUUCACAAGGGUACAGAUGAGCACUAGACUGGCAUCCCGCUCAGUGCUGCCUAUGCCAGCUGGAACUGGCCUCUUUUCAAUGAUAAUGGUUUGUUGUUUGGGGUUUUUUUAAUUUCUAGACUUAGUCGAUCUGGAAAUGAAUUACUGGCUGUUAGCACUAGGAAGAGAUUCGUAGACAGCACGUGUUUUCCUUUAAGGAGGAUCUGUGGCCGGGAGUGAGUCAAUAACUGUGAGUCUUUCCCUGCGUGUGGACACAAGUACGUCCUUAGUGCCGACUCCCUCAGAUGUGAUGACCAUACCCACCAUCAUGCUAUGCUGUACAGACGGGCACAUGUUCAGUGAGUGUCUCUUCAUGCUGUGGUGGGGAGGGCGAUGGAGGCACAAACUGAAUGCUGAGCUGCCCUUUUUCAAGGAGAUAACAGGCAAGAGCUGAGAUUUAUUGACUAGAGGCCCUAAACAUCAUGGCAAAAGCAUGAUGGCUUUAUACCUCCAAAGGUUGACCUGCAACAAGCAGCACUUAAUAAAUAGUAAGGGGCAGAGACACACAAUAAUACGGCAAGGAAACAAAGGAGUUGAGUGAUCUUAAAAAGAAAGCAGGGAUGAGAAAAUGAGAAGUUAUGUUUUAUCUGUUAUUCUAAUUACAUGGGAUUAAAACCAGACUAGAAACAUCUGCUGCUUUGAUUUUGCUGCUCCUGGGAUUUCUCAGCCCUUUCCCCUUAAGUGGAACAUUUCAAGUGAGCAGGAUCUGGCCUGAAGAAAUCCAUAAAGCUGUAUUCAUUACUUAGGUUUUCUGUUUGUGCUCAUUUGAAGAUUUUGCUGUUUUGAUUUUCUUUGGAUUAGCUGAGCUCAAGGGAACUCUCUGAAGGAAUGUGCCAUUGGUUUUCUGUUGGUGGUUUUCUGUGUGAUGUAAUACAUUAAAACUUUCAUGCAGGCAGUCAUUAAUUGUCAAAACCAAAAAUAAUCCUAAACUCCUGUCUACAAUUAUCCAUACUGUGCUAUAUUUGGGACACAUCAUGGUUUCUAUCAUUAAGAAGGCCUCCUUGUAAUGCCCCAUCAUGGAUAAAACAUAGCCACAAAAAUGAUGCAUAUGGACAAAAUACAAAGUGAAAUUACAGGUUUCUAUACUGAAAUGGAACUACUGAUGAUGCAUAUGCCAGACACGAGUGACACACAGAACAGAACUGUUAGUAAACUGAGGGAAAACUAUAAAUAUGUUUAAGACGAGACAUCACACAUUGUUUCAAGUGACAAAGUUUGUUCUAAAAGAAAGAAAAAAGAUCACAAAUCUAGACAGACAGCACUGCUAAAAGUUAUAUAUCUGCAUGAUUCAUUCCCCAAAGAAAUCAAUGUCAGGAUGACAUUUUUCUUCAGGCAGUACUGGCAACUGCUCGUAAUUUGGGUAAACUUUCUCUGCCCUAUAAAAACAAACCAUCAAACCAAAAGGUAACCACUGAAACAGCUACCACUCAACCAAAAAAAAAUAGUAUUUUAAACAGAGCACAACAUAAAACUGCAUGAGUCAAUCUACCGUAAACUUUCAGCAAAUAGCAUGUGUCAUAGAGAUCAACUUUGGUGUUUCCAAAGAGCAUAGGCUUGUAUAGCAGGCUUUUUAGAAACAGACUUCGCUCCAAAUAGUAGUUCCCUACUUUCAAUAAACCCUGACUGGCUGCAACUAGUUAUUUCUCCUGAUACAGACAGCCAAAAUAACUGACUCGUAAACAGAAGCCUAUGGAGCUAGAUUAAUUACAGGGAUUACAUAUAGUAUUCAGAGCUUUUAAAACCAGAAGGGAUCAUUACGAUGAUCCCAGCUGGCCUCCUACGUAACAUAAGCCUUGGAAUUUCACUGAAUGAUUCCUGCUUACAGCUGCUGGUGGUGAUGGGAAGAUGUAUCAUCUCUGUUUAACUACUUCAAGUGAGUGAAAACACAACUACCCCAUUCCGGUGGCUAAUUACCCUCAUCUUGUAACCUGCUGGAUGUUCUGCAAUGCAUAUUUAGUAUGUAUAUUUAAUAUGAGUCUGUUAAAAUAAACCAUUGCAUUUGAAGUAUUUAUAACUUUAUAUCAUUUUUAGGCCCAAAUGCCAUGUAUUUCUACAUCCUGUAUCCUAAAAGCUGAUUUAAGACACGGUGUAUUUCAGUUAGAGAGUAUCUUUCAUCCUGAAGUGUUACACUUCUUACUGGUGAAAUUUUUCAGCACACAGCAAUACAUAUUUCUUGGUUUGCUUUCCAUUAGAUAACAGUCCUGAGGUCCCCCUGUUUUUAGCGUGUUGGAGCAUAUAUUGUUCUUGACAAACUCCACAGCUAUUUAAGUUGGAGGCUUUAGUCUUACCACUGUCUUUCAUGUAGGGAGGUGGCUGAGAUGUUGCCUGGCUGACCUUAGUGACCUUGAUUGUUCUCAUUUGAUGCUCCUUAAUGUCUCUCUUGAGAAAAAACUGAGCUUAGAUAUUUGCAACAAAACCUCAACAUUUUGCCUGAAUAACCUUUUAGAUGGGACAGCCAAUUUGCUUGAUAUAGCAAAGAGUCAUCUCUCCAUUAUGCAUGGGAAGAUGAUUUGGUUUGCAGAUCAGAGAGAGCCAAGAUGAUACUGUGUGAGUCAGUUUGGGCCUGGCAAAACUAAGGAGUUUAGGAACAAUGCCACAAUAUUGCUUACGCAGUUGUUCCUGACUUCAAAGAAGCAGUUUUGCAGGUGAACAUUCAGAAAAACAAUGAAGAGUUAAAGAUCCGUGGUGGAAAAAUAGGAAAACUCAUAGUAACUUCCCUGACUUUUGUACCAAAUCCUUUGUGAAUGAUAUAGCAUGGAAAAUCUAGUGUUUAAAUAUGAAGGGGCCAGUCCACCUCUUCACCAGGUUCGCUUCAACAGAAGGACAUAAACUCACAAUGGGAACAGGUAUAUGUAGAAGAACAUAAGAAUGGACAUAUCAAAGGUCCUUCCCUUCCAAGUGUUUGUUUUUCACUUACUUUGGAAAGCAUUAAAAAUACAGGGUGAAUUCACAUGACAAUAUGAUAAAGAUAGUGAGACUUACACAGAAAGGUUUCUAUUGAAAACAGUUCUGUGCUUUUGCCCAACAAUACAAUUUUGUCUCCAUGAGUGCUUUCAUUUUGGCAUGGCUCAUGAAUCCAUAUUAAGUUUGGUUCAGAAGUUUCUGAGGUUUGUGUUGUUACAUUUAAUGUUGAUGAACAGCUUAUCCAUUCUCAAGAUCCCAAUGAGGAAGCAAGGUAUAAUUUAUCCCAACACUGCUGGAGCAAGGCUACAUAUUGGAUUAUUCAAUGACUCCUGCUGGACGGCAGUAAAAUGGGCCAUCAUUUUCAGUAUUCGGUCAAGUAUACAGAAUUUUACUAAUUUGACUGGAUUUUUUCUUAAGACAAAUAUCUAAUUAAAAAGCAAAACAGUCUAAAUGCCAGAUCUCAACUACAGAAUAUGUCUGAGUGUCAGAAGAUCAGGAAUUCGGUACUCUUUCUUGAACUGAAAUAAUUUUAAGUCAUAGAUGUAUUUGCUCACCUAAGGGCUUUUCAGCUCUGACGGAAAAUUCCUCACUACCUCACUACAGCUAUUACAGUUGGUGCCUGUCGGAGAAUGUGAUGAAUGUUACCAAUAAUUCAAAGGAUCACCUAAAAAUCAAUUGUUGAUAUGGCUUUAUAAUUUUAGAAAUAAUUAUCCUCUACAUAAUUUUACAAAGCCAGGCUGUGUCUUCCCUUAGCUUCCUCAGAAAAUCUAUCAUCUACAUCAGAGACUGAAACAGCAUGCUCGUGAUAGUCAUUUGGGAGCUAUUAGCAUAACCUCUGUUUUUCUGUCCUUUAUUUUUGUAAUGCUCACUGACUGGAAAAAUGAAUAAACAUGUAACUGUAAAUGACCAUUUGGGAAAUCCAGAACUUUCACAGAAGAGUCAUGUGGACGAUCACUUGUUCUUCGUGUCUCAACUUUGUGGUGGUCUGGGAAGCAAAAAAGACCUUCCUCUGGCAACUCCCAAAGAUGAACAAGUUAGAAAAAUAGUUGUACUUGGGUAUCUUGUUUCCUGACAUCAAAGCAUCUUGAGGGAGAAUUGUGCUGUUAUGUGACAUUAUUUUUUUUUCUUCCUGUAAUAGCUGUGGUAGACACUCAGCAUUUGCUUUGCACAUUUAAAAUUCUGAUUAAUUCAGGAAGACCAGAUAAGAAACCUGCCAAGCGUUCCUCUCAUCCUGAAGUCAGUGGUAGCACUUUCAUUGGGAUAAUCUGGACCAGCAACAUGCACCCCAUAUGUGGGGUAUGCACUGGAGGAAAGGAGGAAAUGCAGGAGGAAAUUCUUCUUCAGCCUGAUGCACUGUGGGCUCAGGGAAGCUGUGGCAGCUCGCCAGCACCACAAGCCGACACCAGCGUGCCUGUAGCUCCGCUGCAGCCAGCACAGCAGAGGUUACAGAAAUGCUGGAGCUGCUCUACAGGGAAGGGGGACUGGAAGAGGCUCCCUCCUUUGCCUGACUCUAAGAGCCCUCUCCACCCCCUCUUCCACCAGUUCUCUCCACUGGCAAUAAGGCCAAACAUAUGAAAAAGAUUGUUUCAGUAAGGUAUCCAUAAGUCUGAUGAAAGCCUGCUAAAAUUGAACUUGUAGAGCCGUUUGGUCAGGAGCUGAACUGGAGAAAACUCUCUACUUUUCCCACAAGGCUGCCAUUCCAGUAUAUGAAGAACUGGAUCAUCUCUCUUGGGGGAAAAGAAAACGAAAGGCCACUGGUCUCAAGCCAUGAAUCAGGAAAAGGACAUACUCCGAAAAAGCAAAGAGAGUGUGUACAAAACUCAUGAACACUGAAUUCCAGAAAUUCCCUCGGCUCAAAUCCUAGCUCCAGUGGUAAUGACAAGAAACUAGCAUAGCCAAAAGCAGAGCCUAAGGACCAGGAAACGAGCUGAUCAGAUCUGCAGUGUCUGUUGUCCCCCGUUGUCCCCCUCAGGCAGCUAGUAAAUAUUGUUAGGCUCAAAUUCCCAGGGACAGGGCCUGAUUAACAUUUUUCCAGAAUAUACAGAUACCUUGUAAGCAGAAUAUAAUAAUGCAAUGCUGUUCUUCUCACAGAGCCUACUGAACACUAGGUUCUUAAGCAUAUUGUACACUAUGAGUUAUUUAGUCAACCUUAUUGGUUACGUUGGAGAAAUGCUGCACCUUUCUUUUUAAUCUAAAGCAAAGCUGUGUUUGUAUACUUUUGCAUGUGCUGUAGUUGGCAAUGAUUAACAGCUUACGUGUCUCAGCAGUUUCUUUUUUCUUCCUUACAUUUUAAAUAAAAUGCAAUGGAAAUUCAAUACGCUGAUCCAUAUUCUCCCUUCUACCCACAUAAUUUCUCAGAGCUGUCAGAUCUCAUUUGCAAGUGUCCCUUCUUCUGUCAUCAGAAAAUUAUGUCAAUAUUCCACACCACCUGAUGCAUCCUCUUGCCACUUUAUCUAAAGAUCAGAGAAAACAUAUGUAAGUACUAACCAAAGCAUAAACAUUUAGAACUGUUGGGCCUGGAAACAAUGCAGUUUGCAGAACAUGUUGUCUUUAUUAAAACUUACAUGAAUAGCAUCAAAGUGAAAAGGCUGGAUGUGUGCAAUGAUCUCAUACACGAGUUAUUACCUCUGAAAUAUAAAUAUUGAAGGAGCUUUGGAAAUGUGUUGUUUCCCCUGAGUACUGGAAAGAGCACAAACAUAAAAAUGUAUGAAUCCAACUUAAGAGUUUUCCUGUAAGGAAUGUAUUAUGGAGAACACUGGGAAGGCUGAGAAAUUGUAUGUGAGCUGAUACCUGAAAAAAAAAAAGGGGGGGGGGGGAGAAAAAAAACCCUCUUAAAAUGGAGUGGAAUGCAUCAUUUGUAUUUAUUUGUCUCUUCAGUUCCAUGGAAUGCAGAUCUAAGUUGAUUCACAAUUAAGAGAGUCUUCAACUGGAAAGACUGAAGGGCCAUUGAGUUUCUUUACUGGAAAACCCUGUCAUCAGUCAAAACCUUGCGUAGGAAAGGAGAAGGCUGUUGUGAUUCCAGUGUGAAUUCCACUGUGUAAUGAAUUGAAAUCCCUGCCAGUCACUGGCAAAGUUUAACCUUGGGAUACCUUGUUCAAUACUUUUGUAGAUGAUGAAUGCUUGAAGAGAAACAUUUUAUAUGGUGCAGUCUUAAUAUAUUCACUGUGCUAUGAUAUACCUGUGACAAAUGUAGGAAACAAGAAAAAAGGGGCCACAACUACCCAUCCACUUCUUAGUUGUAGCCAUUGGCGAGAACUUCCAAUGGCUGCAGCGAUACUGCCAGCCAUUCUUGGAAGAAACACCACCACAGAGGGCAAUUAAUACUGCUUGUUUAUUUUCUGGCAGCCUGCAAUACAUACUGGGCCACAGAGGGAGAGCCAGAGGCCGCUUUAAUCUUCAAGAAUUAGCAAUAACAUGCUGUGGCAGGAUUUUAGAGAUCAGACUGAAUCUAUAUUAGCUUUACUGCACUCUCAAAACAUUGAGACCACACGGAUACUAGUAUUUUCCUGUACACUCAUAAAUGCCGCUCAGAUUCCGGCACUGAACAUCUGAUUUUAUUUUAUUUUAUUUUAUUUUUUAAUUUCAUUUCAUUUCUUUAUUUUAUGUUUUAUUGUUUCCCUCCCUGAGUUACUUCUCCUCAAGCCUGCCCCUUAAAUUCCCUGUGACUGAAGAGCACAUUUCCUCCAUCUCCUGUCUCUGACUGGCAGAAACAGCCUCAAAGGACCAAGAAACAGGCAGAUGGACUGUUCUUGGUGUUUCUCCCAGGAAUGAAGGUUUGGUUGCCAGUGGCUUUAGUAUCAUUGGAAGAGGCAGCUGCUAUCCUUCAGCCAAGUGGGAGGAUUAAAUGAUUUGGGGACAGUGAGUUCACCCAGGAGAGAAGGAGUGGAUGGAGAAGACAUUGUCUUGGCACUGUGAGUUGCUUUUGUGUUGGGAGAGGAAGUGCCUGGACUAGGCUGUGCUGGGAGGUACAGACUAACCCAGAAAUGACUAAAACAAAUGGCCCUUGAAACAUGAUUUGAAGCAGAGCCUACAGCAUGUCUGCAGUGCACAUGAGAUAAAUCCUAGAAAUGGUUGGAAGGGACAUCUGAUUGCAACAAAAGGAUGAGUCUUACUUUAAAGUACUCAGAAAGGAUGAAAAGGCCCCCUAGAAAAAUUGACUGGGUGCUAAGAAUGACAGGUGCUACAUGACUGCUGGGAAAUGUAGUACCUGAUACUGCCCCGCAACGGGCAGAGGAUGUGCCUUGCUUAGAUAAAAGCACUGUGGUAUAUUUAAGAGCCUCAACCAUCCUUGACCUUGCUUCUGAUUCCCCAGGAGGGACUGGCGUAGCCAGGGGAAAAAAUUAUUGUUCUAUAUGUGCACCCAGGUUUCUCUCAGCCUCUUAAGGGCUCCCCUGAAGAAAGGGUCUAUUAGAAGAUGCUCCCCUGCCACUGCAAAACUGCUCAUAGGAUAUUAGUCAAUAUACAUUAAUUUUUUAGUGAUAAGAGUCCAUAGGUGUAUUCCUCUGUGCUUCCUCAGCUGGUUGGCAUGAAUACCUCCCCUGCUUUCAUGUGGAGAACAGACCCCAAACUCAGCCCUGCACUUUGAGCUGCUUGAAAAUUUGAGCCUUGCUACUCCCCCCAUAUCUGAUCAAGCAUUUCAAACUCAUUCUGCACCUACCUACUGCUUCUUAGACCUGCUAGGCAAGCACUAUCAGGGACACAGGAAAAGAAGCUCUACUGGGAGAGAUUUUUCUUCUCUGUUUCCUGAAAAAGGCCUCUGGCCAGUAUUAGGAGAAAAUUAUUUUCUAUGUGUGAGCCUUCUUCCUGGUGUUACUGGCAAAAACAAGAGACAGGUUUAAAUAGCUCCUGGGUGGAUCUCCUUUUGAAACCAACACCCCCAGCUCAAGGUCUCCUGCAGACUGUGUGCCCUCCCGAUGUGCCCCUAACACACAACACAUCUUUGCCUCCAAGUACAAGAAUUUAUAGGAGUCUGGUGGAACUGUAUUUGGAGGAAAAGGCACACAGUCUUAGCGGGAUAAAACAGCAAUAUGUCUAUAUGAAUGAUAAAUAAAAAUAUCUCCCCAUGUAACUCUGCCAAGAGUUCAUUAAUUUGGUUUCCUGCCUGCUGGUGUAAACAUCCAACAGCAAAUGUCCUGUAACCACACAACUUCAUCCUUCCACCUCUGCUAAUCCUCUCUCCCAGUGUGGCAGCAGUGGGUAUAACAGGCCUAAAGUCUUCAGGUGCACUUGGAAAGCCUCUCCCUAAACCUUUCGAAAAUGUUGCCUGGUUCUUUCCUGAGGCUUUCAAACCUGUUGCAGCUCUUGUGAUUUUGGAGUCAGUUGAUAGGGAGCAGUAGUUGACAUAGUUCAGGACUGCAUCUGUUCCCUAGAAAGGACCCUGAGAAGCCAGUGGAGACCUUCUGCUCUCUCCAAAUAAAGGCAGCCGUAGCUGACAGGUUUAUCUAACCUUUCCUUGUACAACCCUAAUGACACUGAAGCCAUAGCUUCUCCACACUGUCUCUUCCAGCAUUUAACUGUCUUCCAAGUAAAAAGUAUUUUUCCAGAGUGCAGCCUACAUCUCGCUGUCUUUUAACUUGAUUUCUUCCUCUUCUGUGCUCAAUGUGGGUAGAGAACGGCUAAUUUUGCUGUUAUUUUUAACUUUUUUAGAAGACAUAUCCCCUUCUCCAGACCAAGCUAUCCCAGUUCUUUCAGUCCCUUCUUUGCAUAAUGCUUCAUUCCUCUCUUUCAUUUGUCCAUUUGGUUUCUGUUUUGAGUAGAUAAAUAGCUACAAAAAUGCUCAAAAUGACCCGUGAAGGGUUCUGAAUAAAAAUCUUGUAAUCUCUGUAGUCAUCAUCUCCUUUAUCCAUACUAAUAAGGCAGGAUGAGGUAUGGUUAAAAAAACAAGCUCAAGGCACAGAUAAUGCAAAACAUGUGUAAAGGAGAUGGUAAGUCUGUUUUGUAGCUACGGAGCUGUUUUAGCUGUACAGCUAUUUUGGUAAAGAGAUUUCCAGAGAGAGGAACAGCAACUCUGAAAUACAGUGAGAGCACCUGAGUCUAGUACAACUGGCAUGCAGUCUCCACGAUGGGCUCUCUGGCACCUCACCAUGCUCAAGAGUGAGGGAAAAGUGGGGCUCAGUGCACCCAACGAUAAGCACGAGUAAAUGCCAUUUCCCAUUCUUCAUUCCCUUUACCUCAGAGCUUACAUUCAUGUCAAGUGGUGGAUAGCUCUAUGGCAUCUACCCUUCAUCACCUUCAGGGGUAGCUCUGUGUCCUCUAGAGCAACAGACCCAAAAUUUUAUUGGCCUGUGACAAUAUUGACUGAAAAUAUAUUCUGGAACAACACCAUUUAUUCUUAUCAGCUUGGGUUUUGGUAGUAGCAGUUAUGCCCGGCUACACUUAAUGCCAGAAGUUGGAGAAUCUGUAAUUUUGCCCGUAAGGCACUUCUCUAAAGCUUCAGGCUACAGAGCUUGCAUACUAUUCGCUAGGAUUGCACGGUCUUCUGAAGCUGUUCCCUGUAACAUCAGGUUUAGCCACUGGCAUAAAUAUAGAUAUUUGGCAAGGUAUAUUUCUGGUUAAGACUCUGAAGAUGCAUGAGGUAAAGAAUUAAAUGCUUUCCAAGUUCAAAUAUAUAAAAUGUGCCAUGCUAUUUAGCAUAGCUGCGGAGAGGGAGAAAGAACAUUUACCAGCAGACUGGGUGAAUCAAAAUGCCAGGGUAGUUUCUGACAAACAUUAUUUAACUUGCAUCAUUGCUUAUAUGGAUUUUCAAUGUAGUAUGAGAAAUGCAAACUGGUCAUAUUUCAGUGUAACCCUCUAUUAGGGAAACAUUUAUAAUUUCAACCCAGAGUAUAUGGGUAACAAGAUAGCCUUGUUAGCAAGCUGCGUGUCUGAAUGAGUCACAAGCCUCUUACACCAUCAUACGGAUCAGAGAGAAUCCAAAUCUGUGAAGAUUUCCCUUUGGAUCUGUGGAUUUUCUACAGGUGCAUCUCCUUCUAUUUGCCACCAUUGGAUCUCUUUGUAGAAUGGAAAUUUGAGGUCUGUGAUCUUCCUAAAGUGGGCCUUAUCUGAUAACUUUGCCAGACACCUAUUCCACUUGAGUUUUUGAGAGGGAUUAAAGAGGUAAGCUUGCUUACCCAGUCUGAAUCUUCUUUUUGUGUAGACAUGUACCAAGCAGAUAUUCACCCUGUUUUGGUCUAUACAGCAAUAUUAAAAGUCAUAAGCUUUUCUUGUCCUGUUUCUUUUUUUCUGAUACAGUUGCUUUGGAAAGGGGCAUAAGGAUAUGUUCAAGUGAUCUGAAUGUGGUUUUAUAUGUGAGUUGACUCUGGAAGCCCAGAAAACUGUUACAGAGAAAUGGAGGAGAAAAAAAUAUUUACAGUAUAUUUUUAUUCUGCCUUUAUUCUGACAUAUUAAAAUUACUUAGCAUAACAUAAAAAGCUGGCACCAGGGAGAGACAGAGACGAGUAACUGGGGAAGCCUGAACUCUCUCUCUAGGACACUCAGGAGUAGAAAAAUCCAGUCUGUAGCCAGAGGGAUAUAUCUGGUUGACAGAAGGGAUAGAAGGUUUUGCUCCCUGAGACCAACUGAAAACCAGGAUUACUCUGCUGCCAUUCACCCCAUUACAACAUUAUAACCUGCCUCAAAAUAAAGUACUUUGAAGUGUGUUGAAUACUCACAUUUGGUAUCCAAGAUAUUUUUUAGCCUUAGUACGGCCAGACUGAAACUUCCCAAUCCUAUUUUGAGAAAAUGGGUAAGUCAUACCAUUCACAAUGGGUUAAGGG